rnacentral:rRNA from 1 species
UAAAGAGCCGCGGUAUUUUGACCGUGCAAAGGUAGCAUAAUCAUUAGUCUUUUAAUUAAAGGCUAGAAUGAAUGGCUUGACGAGAAAUUAACUGUCUCUUAAUAAUUUUUUGAAUUUAACUUUUGAGUUAAAAGGCUUAAAUUUUUCUUUAGGACGAGAAGACCCUAUAGAGCUUGACAUCUUGUUUAUAUAUAUUUAUAAGUUGGUCUUUUAUAUUUAAUGUUAAUGUUUUGUUGGGGUGACAUGAAGAAUUAAUAAACUCUUUAUUAUUAAAUCAUUAAUUUAUGUUUAUUUUGAUCCAUAAUUUAUGAUCAUAAGAUUAAGUUACCUUAGGGAUAACAGCGUAAUUGUUUUUGAGAGCUCAUAUUGACAAAGCAGAUUGCGACCUCGAUGUUGGAUUAAGAAAAAUUUUGGGUGUAGUA